UACGUAGGGCGCAAGCGUUAUCCGGAAUUAUUGGGCGUAAAGAGCUCGUAGGCGGUUUGUCGCGUCUGCCGUGAAAUCCCCGGGCUCAACCCGGGAACUGCGUCCGAUACUGGGAGGCUUGAAUCCGGGAGAGGGAUGCGGAAUUCCAGGUGUAGCGGUGAAAUGCGUAGAUAUCUGGAGGAACACCGGUGGCGAAGGCGGCAUCCUGGACCGGUAUUGACGCUGAGGCGCGAAAGCCAGGGGAGCAAACGGG
rnacentral:rRNA from 1 species